rnacentral:misc_RNA from 1 species
CUUGUUUAGGCCUUUACAUUUUUCUCUUGCAUGAGAACUCAAAACGAAAAUCAGCAUUAAGAAUCCUAACUUUAUUUCUUUUAGAUUCCAUUUUUCUUAAAAUAAAAUCUAACUGGAGCCUUUCCCACCUCAUUUUAUGGGAAAAUUCUUAAUGGCUGAUAAAGUGGAUGCAGUGAGCAACAAACCCAUCAACAAGAAGCUCAACAACCCCAGAAGAGUAAUGGGCCAGGCAAGAGGUGGGGGCAUACCUGCAAUUCCGUUAGGGGAGGGAGAUUUCUUUAUGUUUUCGGUGGAUAUGGCAAAGAUAAUUGCCAAACUAACCAAGUUCAUGUCUUUGACACCGCGAUGCAGACUUGGAGCCAGCCAGUGAUAAAAGGCACUCCGCCCACUCCAAGGGACAGCC